UGCGAGACCGCAAGGUUUAGCCAAUCCCAUAAAUCUGUUCUCAGUUCGGAUCGCAGUCUGCAACUCGACUGCGUGAAGCUGGAAUCGCUAGUAAUCGCGGAUCAGCAUGCCGCGGUGAAUACGUUCCCGGGCCUUGUACACACCGCCCGUCACACCACGAGAGUUUGUAACACCCGAAGUCGGUGAGGUAACCUUUAUGGAGCCAGCCGCCGAAGGUGGGACAGAUGAUUGGGGUGAAGUCGUAACAAGGUAGCCGUAUCGGAAGGUGCGGCUGGAUCACCUCCUUUCUAAGGA
rnacentral:rRNA from 1 species